rnacentral:lncRNA from 1 species
GGGUGCAGAUGAUGAUUGGGAAAAAUCCGCCCUCCCCAUCAACGAUGAUUCAAGACCCCGAUCAAUAACACCUCUGCUUUUUGCUCUCGAGCUCUUAGUGAUUUCUUUUUUAAAAACCUCUCACCUACUUUUCCGUGCCCACCAGAAUCUUUUUUCUAACGGUUUGUCUUCCAACCCUCCCAAAACCAAAUCCUGCCCCCUCUACGCACACACACUUUUUUUUUCUCCCCAAUCCAGCAUACCCUCUCAUCAUCUUACACGUUUUUUUUUUCUUUUUUUAUUCUUUUUUCUUUUCUUUUGUUUUCUUUUCUUUUCUCUAUUUUCCUUUUCUCUUUGUUUCUUCUUUUAUUUUAUAUAUUU